CGCAAGAUCCACCAUCGUGACUUGGUGGGACUCUCUCUUCUUUCACCAAGCAAGCCAACAAGCUUCACAGUCACCAAAUCGUGCACGACUAUUUCACCAAGCGGCUACGACCGAUCCAAACCUUGCUUUGAUACCAAAUUGAAGAGUUUGAACAAAACAAUCAACAAUAAUUUUAUUGAUUACAAGCAAUUGUACACUUAACUUGUGUACAACAACAUACAUUAUCACUUACAAGAGAUGACUAUUUCUCACAUAAAAAGUAGUACACACACAAUCUAGGAAGACACUUUAACUUAGACACAAACUCUUUAGUACUUUUGACACUGCAAACUUGGAUUCUCCUCAACCACAACUAUCAGAGUUGGCGGAGUCGUAUUAAGUCUUGCCCUGAGGAUAGGACUUGUGGGAGGUCGUUGAUGGAGAUAGUACCUAACCUUCCAAGGAAGCUGAAGCACUCCAAAAAUGGAAGAUCAAG
rnacentral:lncRNA from 1 species